GACGCCGCGUGUGGGAUGAAGCCUUUCGGGGUGUAAACCACUGUCAGAAGGGAAGAAACUCGUGCUUUCGAAUAGGGAGUGCGAUUGACGGUACCUUCAGAGGAAGCACCGGCUAACUCCGUGCCAGCACCCUCGGUGACUGAGCGGGCUGGCAAGGCGCAUA
rnacentral:rRNA from 1 species